rnacentral:tRNA from 1 species
GGGGAUUUAGCUGGAUGGCAUAAGCACCUGCCUUGCAAGCAGGCGGUAGUGAGUUCGAUCCCCG